GUGGGCAACCUGCCUGUAAGACUGGGAUAACUUCGGGAAACCGAAGCUAAUACCGGAUAGGAUCUUCUCCUUCAUGGGAGAUGAUUGAAAGAUGGUUUCGGCUAUCACUUACAGAUGGGCCCGCGGUGCAUUAGCUAGUUGGUGAGGUAACGGCUCACCAAGGCAACGAUGCAUAGCCGACCUGAGAGGGUGAUCGGCCACACUGGGACUGAGACACGGCCCAGACUCCUACGGGAGGCAGCAGUGGUCAUAGCU
rnacentral:rRNA from 1 species